CUGGAGUUCACCAAGGCUAUGUAAGCAGCCCAAGGUCAUCCAGUUUGCUGGCAGCGAGUUGAAGUUCAUUGUCUUUCCACCAUGAAGCAUAGAUGCUCUGGAGGAGCUCCCUCACUCCUCCCACCGUCCUGGACCUGCAAUCCCCAUGGGAAACUCUGAGUUACCUACGUCACCGUCUUAGCCACUGUCCUAAGAUCCAGCUCUCAUGCUCCUGCAUUCUGAGAGCACACGGGAUGCGCUUGUCAACAUUCAUGGAGGCAUGGAAAUCCACUGUCAGAAGAGAGCCGAUGCUUUGUCUGAGGCCUUGAUGCCUCUGAGCCUUCUGGAAUUGGUGUAAGAGAUUAUGGCUCUAAAAAAUGUGGUGCAUGGCUGGGCGGUGGCGGCGGCAGUGGCAGCAGCAGCGGCAGCGGCAGUGGCAGCGGUGGUGCACUCCUCUAAUCCCAGCACUCAAGAGGCAGAGGCAAGCAGAGAUCUCUGUGAGUUCAAGGCCAACUUGUAUAUGGAGCAAGUUCCAGGACAGCCAGGGCUGUUGUUACACAGAGAAAUCCUGUCUUGAAAGCUAAA
rnacentral:lncRNA from 1 species